AAACUGCGAUAAGUAGUGUGAAUUGCAUUUAGUGAAUCAUCGAAUCUUUGAACGCACCCUGCACUCACUGGUAUUCCAGUGAGUACGCCUGUUUCAGUAUCAUUGAAAACACACAAUCAAAACAUUUUCUUUGGUUUGAUUGGCUUUGGGUCUAUCAAAAAGUUUGGCUUGUUUCUUACAAGCCAAGCGGCCUGAAAUAUAUUGUCUGGCUAAUUGCAUCGUUGAUGAUCGCUAUUAGACUUUGGCUUUUUUAAAUGAACUGGAGGUUGAUUAACCAGUUUUAGCUUUAGUCAAAUGAUCAUUGUAAAAAAAAUCUCGAUCUUGGCUAGGUGUUUAUAGCCGAAAAUUUUUUUUUGGCUAUAACCGAAACCAAUAUAAUCACAUUUAGUUAUCGAUCUGAAAUCAGGUGGGACUACCCGCUGAACUUAAGC
rnacentral:misc_RNA from 1 species